rnacentral:rRNA from 1 species
UUGGACGGUCAUAGGGGAGUGGUUCUACCUGUUCUCAUUCGAACACAGAAGUCAAGCGCUCUUCCGUAUCAGGGUGUACUCCGUUACGGGGAAAACCUGGUAAGCUGUCCACC